ACGGAGGGGGCUAGCGUUGCUCGGAAUUACUGGGCGUAAAGAGCAUGUAGGCGGAUUGCAUAGUCAGGCGUGAAAGCCCCAGGCUCAACCUGGGAACUGCGUUUGAUACUUGCAGUCUUGAGUCCGAGAGAGGGUGGUGGAAUUCCCAGUGUAGAGGUGAAAUUCGUAGAUAUUGGGAAGAACACCAGUGGCGAAGGCGGCCACCUGGCUCGGUACUGACGCUGAGAUGCGAAAGCGUGGGGAGCAAACAGG
rnacentral:rRNA from 1 species